GAUGAACGCUGGCGGCGUGCCUAAUACAUGCAAGUCGAGCGAACAGACGAGGAGCUUGCUCCUCUGACGUUAGCGGCGGACGGGUGAGUAACACGUGGAUAACCUACCUAUAAGACUGGGAUAACUUCGGGAAACCGGAGAUAAUACCGGAUAACAUGUUGAACCGCAUGGUUCAACAGUGAAAGACGGUCUUGCUGUCACUUAUAGAUGGAUCCGCGCCGCAUUAGCUAGUUGGUAAGGUAACGGCUUACCAAGGCAACGAUGCGUAGCCGACCUGAGAGGGUGAUCGGCCACACUGGAACUGAGACACGGUCCAGACUCCUACGGGAGGCAGCAGUAGGGAAUCUUCCGCAAUGGGCGAAAGCCUGACGCAGCCACGCCGCGUGAGUGAUGAAGGUCUUCGGAUCGUAAAACUCUGUUAUUAGGGAAGAACAAAUGUGUAAGUAACUAUGCACGUCUUGACGGUACCUAAUCAGAAAGCCACGGCUAACUACGUG
rnacentral:rRNA from 1 species